rfam:Triticum aestivum genome assembly, contig: Triticum_aestivum_CS42_TGACv1_scaffold_641488_T_1DL-0.200696_2DL-0.128977
UUUUUACUCCCUCCGUCCAGAAAUACUUGUCGGAAAAAUGCAUAAAAAUGAAUGUAUCUAGAACUAAAAUACAUCUAGAUAUAUCCAUUCCUCCGACGAGUAUUUCCGGACGGAGGGAGUAAUAA